AUCUGGAUCGUCUAUUAGCCCCUGUGAAUCUCCACCGUUCGUUCGUGACUCUGUCCACCCACGCCACUCCCCGACCUUCCGCUCCACGCGACAACCUCCCUCUCGGUUCUCCCUCUGCCGCCGUCCCCCUGGCCCUGCUUGGCGGCGCCCUUCUUCCCUAGGCCGGCGAGCAGGCCCUCUUUCUCCCCCUGCCGAAGCUCUCACGACUCCCCCUCCAUGGCAGGCGUCACGCCCUUCCCUGUUGGCCGUGGACGCCGACGCCGUCCCCCAUCCAUGGCACUUUCCCCAUGCGCCACCCCCUCCGACGGCGACUGUGCUAACCGUGCCCGUCGUCCUCCAUACACGGUCGACCAUCUCUCCUCAAGCCGUCACAGCCAUAGCGAGUCGGGGCUGGGCUAGGUCGCCAGAGAGCCGUGCCUCUGCUCCCACCUCAAUGCCGGCGAGCUCGCCCUUAGCCGACGUGCUAUGGCCAGCUCCCUUCGACGGCCCAGCUACAGCUCGCCUGCGCCAAGUCCGAACGCCCCCUUUUCCCUCGUCAUCGUUCUGGAAAGAUAGCGCCAACUUCUCUCGUCAUCCUCACCAUCCGCCUGCGCAGGUCCCCCGCGGCGAACACCACCAUUUCCUGCAGCCCAUAGUCAGCGCUCCUCGCUGUUCUCCGCAAUGCCCUCAAACUGUUCGACAUAAUGUCCAAGAGAAACGCCAUGUCAAUGACAGCGUCGCCGAACCCCACUCUUGUCCAAGAGAAACGAUAUGUAAAGUAUUGAACCAUUUGGAGCAGAUGAUUGUUGUUCUUUUCUUGAGUACCAAGCACCAUAAAAGAGAAGGUGGGGCUGAGGGCAUUGUCACAUAUCAUUUAAAUGUACUGUAGCCAACUGAGUAAGCAAACGAAGAUGCCUUUGAUCAGCUUUGCACAGCAAUGGAACUCCACCGUUCUUGCGAUUGGAAAAUGGUCGGCUACUGCACCUUUCUUUCAUUUUUAUGCUUUUGCUUUUCAAGGCUGAUGUAUGCACCUUCGUAUCAGUUGAAGGACAUAUACAGGAAGCUGGGAAAACUUGCUGAUGAGCAGUGGCUUCUUAUCCUAAAAAUUACGAGCCCGUAGAGUAAGAACCAACUGCGGAUCUGAGGGCUGGCAAUGUUCAAGGCUUCCAGGAUCAUCAAGUUGGCCUUCCGAUGUAGUACAUGUACUGACAGGCGUCCACAUUCGACGAUGGUGCACGGUUCUGCCGUCGCGCUCCCUCCGCCUCCCCAUGCCCCGCUCCCGUGAUGCCCGCGCGUGCCCUCGCCUCCGCCGCCCUCGCGACGCUGCGCCCUCCCCCGCGAUGCCCGCGCCCUCCGUCCGCCGCGAGAUCCCCGCCCUUCCCUCAAACCCUGUCCUGCACCUCGUGCCUCCGCCUCCACUCGCGAUGCUCCUGCCCGCCCCACCGCCGUGACAACCGCCUUCGCAUCCGCCGCCAGAUCCCCGCCCUUCCCCCAAACCCUGCCCCCAUCGUCUCUGCAGAUCCGGCGUUCGCUCGGGUCUCCUUGCCUCGCCGGGGUCCCACCGCGAUGGUCGAGGAGCAUGGUGGGCGCGGGGAGGCGGGAACGAGCGGCGGAGGAGGUGAAGCUCGACAUCCGCAACAUGCUCAUGGCGCUCGAAUCCCUCAAGGAGGAGUCCCUCAAGAAGAAGAAGGGCGAUGCCGCGCAGCAGCAAGAGCCACCACAGAAGGAGAUGUCGAGUACGACGACGAUGACUCGAUGCGUCCCACCGCCGAGCCCGCCAAGGAGGAGGACAUCGAGGGAGCUGUGUGCAGCGCCCCCUGUCGUCGCGCCGUCAGGAAUACUACCCCCUCCCCCUCGCGCGACAUGGUGGAUGCACGGGCCAGUACCGGUGGUGAGGAUCCCACGGCCGUGGACGUCGUCGUGACACAACUAGCUCUGCACCGGCUGCGUCCACCUCUAGACUUUCUUGCAUCGCCUAUCGCCCUGCUGGAAGAUUGUAAAUACAGUGAACAUCAUCGAUGCCAAAAUCAGAGAUCGGAUGUUAAGGGGAACUGCUGUCGGGGCCUAGGUUCUCGGACUGGUGGUCGUGCGCGGGGCUGCGGUCCGCCUUCGACCUGCCCAUCGCGGCGGCGUAGCUGCAGAUCAAAGCAAAGCAGGGGCGAGCAAAGCAGGGCCGCCCAGAUCGAGACGUCGUCGAGGCCGAGCAGAGCUCCACACCUCCACCUAGGCCACCCGCUUGCCAGAGUGGAGGACGAGCUCCUCCUGUGCCUUCGCCAGCUAUGUGCUCCGUGCUCCGCCGCCUGUCUCCCUAGGCCACAGGGAGGUUGUGUGGGGGUUGCAUCUGACAACGCCAAGGCACCGUCGAGACCGAGCAGAGCUCUGUGCCUUCACCAGGUCGCCCACCCGUCCAAGUGGAGGACGAGCUCCUCCUCAACAGCCAGUAGGCCGAGCUCCUCCCCGCGGACCCACCCUCAGCCAAGAUCCAUAGCCCGCUCCGAGCCAGCGCGCCACGAGCUCCACCGAGGCACCGAUCCUAUCUCCGCCCC
rnacentral:misc_RNA from 1 species